GAUGAACGCUGGCGGCGUGCCUAAUACAUGCGAGUCGAGCGAACAGACGAGGAGCUUGCUCCUCUGACGUUAGCGGCGGACGGGUGAGUAACACGUGGAUAACCUACCUAUAAGACUGGGAUAACUUCGGGAAACCGGAGCUAAUACCGGAUAAUAUAUUGAACCGCAUGGUUCAAUAGUGAAAGACGGUUUUGCUGUCACUUAUAGAUGGAUCCGCGCCGCAUUAGCUAGUUGGUAAGGUAACGGCUUACCAAGGCAACGAUGCGUAGCCGACCUGAGAGGGUGAUCGGCCACACUGGAACUGAGACACGGUCCAGACUCCUACGGGAGGCAGCAGUAGGGAAUCUUCCGCAAUGGGCGAAAGCUUGACGGAGCAACGCCGCGUGAGUGAUGAAGGUCUUCGGAUCGUAAAACUCUGUUAUUAGGGAAGAACAAAUGUGUAAGUAACUAUGCACGUCUCGACGGUACCUAAUCAGAAAGCCACGGCUAACUACGUG
rnacentral:rRNA from 1 species